GUACCUGAAAGUGUUGCCCAAAUCCAAGAGUCCCUGCUUCGCAAUGCAAGACCUGUGAAAGCCAAGCAUGCCGACGGACAUGCAACUGCCUCAAACAUAUUCACGUACCUGUGACUCAUGGCUUUAAUCAAGAUCGAUUACUUCACUUGUAAAGACAUACAACCCAUUGAUUUUGACUGUGGUCAGAGAAACCAGUCAUGAUGAAUGAAUCUGGCCAUAGCUCUUCUUAACAAUGUCACAGAUUAUCUUGUGAACCCUGCGGCACAUUCACCUCCACUCGGGAGACGACUGGCAUCAGCAAUGACAAGAACAUACCAUGAUUCUUGAGGCAAGAGCUAAAUGCUCUGAACACAUCGACGACACCCUACGUUUACCUAAUCCUCAUC